UAAUGUGUGGCUCAGUCGGUUGAGCAUCUGACUUCAGCUCAGGUCAUGAUCUCACAGUUUGUGAGUUCAAACCCCACAUUGG
rnacentral:tRNA from 1 species